AGUGAACGCUGGCGGUAGGCCUAACACAUGCAAGUCGAUCGGCAGCACAGUAAGAGCUUGCUCUUACGGGUGGCGAGUGGCGGACGGGUGAGGAAUACAUCGGAAUCUACUUUUUCGUGGGGGAUAACGUAGGGAAACUUACGCUAAUACCGCAUACGACCUACGGGUGAAAGCAGGGGAUCUUCGGACCUUGCGCGAUUGAAUGAGCCGAUGUCGGAUUAGCUAGUUGGCGGGGUAAAGGCCCACCAAGGCGACGAUCCGUAGCUGGUCUGAGAGGAUGAUCAGCCACACUGGAACUGAGACCCGGUCCAGACUCCGACGGGAGGCAGCAGUGGGGAAUAUUGGACAAUGGGCGCAAGCCUGAUCCAGCCAUACCGCGUGGUGAAGAAGGCCUUCGGGUUGUAAAGCCCUUUUGUUGGGAAAGAAAAGCAGCAGGUUAAUACCCCGCUGUUCUGACGGUACCCAAAGAAUAAGCACCGGCUAACUUCGUG
rnacentral:rRNA from 1 species